rnacentral:lncRNA from 1 species
UCAUGGCUAAAAAAGAAAGAGAAAGUCAGCUUUACCCCUCAAACAUGGGAGAAAAAGUUUCAGCAUUUUAAUUCAAAUUGGUAAAAGGCUGAGCAACCCUUAAAGCUGCCAUAAUGGAAGAAGACUGUGAGCUAGCUUAAAAAAGAGAGAAUGAAGGGGAAGAAACAAAACCCCUGUGUGGCAGAGUGUCGAGAUGAGAUGAGCAUUUAUUUGUCUCCGUCGAAUUCCUUACGGAGAUAAGGUGCAGCUGCAGGGGAUGACACCGAAGAUACAAGCACUGAGUUCACUGACAGUAUUGAGGAGGAGGCUGCACACCAUAGUCACCAGCAACUUGUCAAGGUGGCUUUGGAGAAAAGUCUGGCAACUGUGGAGACCCAGAACCCAUCUUUUUCCCCUCCUUCUCCGAUGGGAGGGGACAGUAACAGGUGUCUUCAGGAAGAAAUGCUCCACCUGAGGGCUGAGAUCCACCAGCACUUAGAAGAGAAGAGGAAAGCUGAGGAGGAACUGAAGGAGCUAAAGGCUCAAAUUGAGGAAGCAGGAUUCUCCUCAGUGUCCCACAUCAGAAACACACCAGACAAGCUCUGCUGUAGGUUCCAAGACUCCUGGAUUCUGAGAAAUUCAAUCUAGGAACACCAUGCUGAGCCUUUGCCUUGAGAAUGCGGAGCUGAAAGAGCAGAUGGGAGAAACAAUGUCUGAUGGAUGGGAGAUCGAGGAAGACAAGGAGAAGGGCGAGGUGAUGGUUGAGACUGUGGUAACCAAAGAGGGUCUGAGUGAGAGUAGCCUUCAGGCUGAGUUCAGAAAGCUCCAGGGAAAACUGAAGAAUGCCCACAAUAUCAUCAACCUCCUCAAAGAACAACUUGUGCUGAGUAGCAAGGAAGGGAAUAGUAAACUUACUCCAGAGCUCCUUGUGCAUCUGACCAGCACCAUCGAAAGAAUAAACACAGAACUGGUUGGUUCCCCUGGGAAGCACCAACACCAAGAGGAGGGGAAUGUGACUGUGAGGCCUUUCCCCAGACCCCAGAGCCUUGACCUUGGGGCUACCUUCACAGUGGAUGCCCACCAACUCAUCACAGGUGUCUGUUCCUGGUCUUCAGAUGGGUUACUGGGAUCCUCUUUAGGGAAGGAGCCAUGCUGAAGAUUCAGUGAAAUGGAGAAUACAGGGAUUCUGAGAGAAUCAAUGGGACAGAAUGUGAGGGGAGAUGAGUGGUCUCUUUUUGACCACUGAGAAAACAUUUCCUGAGAGCUCCUCUGUAGACCUGAUUGGUGCUGUGCUGUGUGCUGUGGAUACAGAUAUGAAGAAAACAUUAUCCCAGCGCUCCAGGAGCUCCAUCUGGAAAGCAAGUCACUGCCAAAUGGCAUGAGAAGUGCUGUGACAGACUUGAGUAAAGUCCACAGGGUUCAGAAGGGGCGGUGGUCG